rnacentral:rRNA from 1 species
UACGUAGGUGGCAAGCGUUGUCCGGAAUUACUGGGCGUAAAGGGCUCGUAGGCGGCCAACUAAGUCAGACGUGAAAUCCCUCGGCUUAACCGGGGAACUGCGUCUGAUACUGGAUGGCUUGAGUUCGGGAGAGGGAUGUGGAAUUCCAGGUGUAGCGGUGAAAUGCGUAGAUAUCUGGAGGAACACCGGUGGCGAAGGCGGCAUCCUGGACCGACACUGACGCUGAUGAGCGAAAGCCAGGGGAGCAAACGGG